rnacentral:lncRNA from 1 species
UGGGGGAUUCGGUUGUUGCUUGCUUUGUGAGAUACACACACACACACACAUGCAGAUGUGAUAAUGAACUCAUUUGAGAUUACUUGCAAUUGCAACAGGCCGACAAAUCUCUGGGUCAGAAAUUAGCAUCUCGGCUCAAUGUGCGACCAAGCAUUUAAGGACCAGACAAAGCUGGAUGUUCUGGGAUGGAUCAAGCACAAAAUGAUGUCCGACCUAUAAAACUCUGUUCCAAUGCUUAUUUUUUGUUGUGGUAUAUUGAACUUGCCCUGUCAUACAAACUCUCUGGCAACAUGAUAUUCCUGAUUUAAUAAAUGCCAAAUGCCAAUUGCAUGUGCUGAUCUUACUCCUCUGUGGUUGGUUAUCACUUUCUCCUGAAGUCUCAUCUACAUAAAAUAUUAAGUGAGCAGAUCGUAUUGCCGGUAAUAUCAUCAUGCAUUUGAUUACGGGUGGUAAAUUCAACCUCCUCACUGCUCUCAAGCACAUCAGUGAAAGUAUGCUGUUUACUGCGCCUUCUGCUAUGUGGGACGAGAAGUUAGAAUUAAGAGUUAAUUUGCCUCCAUUCUUUUGACGGUGGAUUGUGCUUGAGUGACAGUACCAACUCAUCGUUCCUGCAAACAAUAGAGUAAAUCGAGUUCUGUUACAUUUAGCAAUGCAGGCAUUAGCUCAUGGAGGACGGCACGUUAGGACUAUCUUCGGAUCUCUGCUUCAUAAAAGGGCAAAUUAACUUGGAAGGUGCCUGAGAGACCAGAAGAUCGAUAAAUCAAUCUCACAAAUAAUUCGAAUGCAUCUCUGUUGAAACGUUUGAUCAUGUGUGGAACUCCAGUCUAGACAACUGUACACACAAAUUUGGCCGUGAAGAGCCAACCCCACCUGCACUGCGAUCCGUGACAAAAAUUUAACAAGAGAACCGCCUUUAGAGUUGCUGACAUUCUACUUGCAAAUUUCUACCGCCUGAGUUGCAUAUCUUACUAAAUAAGUUGAAAUUUCCAUCUCAAUAAGUCCUCGACACCGCGGAUGGGGAGUAUUGACUUUCAGAUCCACGAGACUGUCGGCACUAUGAUUGUGAUGAAUUGGUAAUCAAUGGUGGUUGUGAUGAUGCUGGUGAGAAGAAGGUGGACUCGAUGCGCCAGCCUUGGUCUCCUUCUUCUCCCGAAUGGUGUUGAUAUGUUCUAAUGUCGCCAACACUUUAUCCAUCGAGGGCCUCGCUUUAGGCUCAUCCUCCAGGCAUUUGAAGGUGAGCCCAGCUGCCUGAGUUGCAGCUUCCAGAGGGUAUCGUCCUUCUAAUCUCGGAUCCAUUAUCUUCCUCAGCUUCCUCUUGUUGUGGAGCAACGGCCUUGCCCAUUCCACCAGAUUCUGCUGGCCGCUGGGGCGGGUAUUGUCGAGCGCUUGUAAACCCGUCAACAUUUCUAGGAGAAUCACCCCGAAACGGUAUACAUUGUUCUUCACAUACAGAUGUUCUGUCAAAUUGAGCCUUUAUCAUUCUGACAUGCAUUUUUAACAAUCACAUGAAAUCUUCGCUAAAGAUGAAGAAGCAUAUGAGAGGGAGAUCUCUAUGAACAGCACAGCAAUAAGAUCAUUUCGCAGAACACCUGCCAAGUAAUCUCGUAAUCUUCUAAAGAGCAUUGUUGUCACCGAUCCAAAAUCGCCCGCGGACAGGAUCUCUGUAUUACUGGUGGCAGAGUACUCAGGAGCCGCAUAGCCAUCCAUCUCGAUCGCUCGGGUGGUCACAUAAGAGUUCCCACCCACUGGUCCCUGUUUUGCUAGCCCGAAAUCCGAGAGCUUGGCAUUGUAGUCCUGGUGCCACAACGAGAGAAAGUGAACGAAGUUUCUCAAUUAAUCCCCAAGAAUGGUAGUUCUACAUCCGGGUAUCAUCUAAUAAUCACAGGCAUUUAUCAAGUAAAUUCCAUUCACAUGGACCACGUGAUCUAAAGACUCCUCCGCAUAAAUCUAAAGUAUCCGGUGCAUCAAAUGUACCAAGACAAUACCAACCAAAAUUGAGAUGCUUUAAAGUGAAAUUUGAGCUUUGUAUAGUUUGAGGCGAUGUGGGCAACAUUUAUAUGGUAUCCUUAAAAAUAAGUUCUCAAUAGCUGGAAAAAACAAAUGAAAAUAAUCAAGUAGAUAGAAAAAUUUACCUCAUCCAAUAAUAUAUUGGAAGAUUUAAAAUCCCGGUAGAUGACGUUAUUCUCGGGUGUACGCAAGAAUUCAAGCCCACGGGCAGCUCCGAUGGCUAUUUUAAGCCUCACGUCCCACGGAAGUGGUCCAGCUUUCCCUGAAUUACCAUGAGCAUUUUUUUUUUCCUUUUGCUGUCUGAUAUCCGAGUGAAAAAAAAAAGGUGAUGCUUAGCAAAAAAAAAAGCCGGUAAUGCAAAUGAUCUUACUUUUGAAAAGGUGAUUUUCUAGGCUUCCCCUCUUCAUGUACUCGUACACGAGUAGGUAGUGAUCGUCUUCCCAGCAAUACCCCAGUAAUCUCACCAAAUUUGGAUGAGAAACUUUCCCCAAGAACUUGACUUCCGACUGUGGAAAGAUAACAAAAAUAGAAUUUAUUGUUAACCAACGCACAUAAAAUUGUGUCGAAAAUUUCGCCAUCUUUUGCACGAGCUAGUGUGAGUUCAAUAAAUUAUGUGCAGCAAUUUGUGCUUUUUACUAUACUAGAAAGUAUGUCUUUAUAGGCCUAAAUCAUAGGGAAAAUUUCGGAGUAUGGUCUAUAACGGGACUGUUUUCUCAGAAAAAUGAUUCAUCAUAAAUCUUGUGUUAAAUAAGGUCAUGAAAGUCUCAACUUAGUCACAUAUAAGACCGGAGCUUACCAGUUGGGUAGAUCUUUGUCAAAGGGCGAGCCCAUGCAUCUAUAUGCAUCUCUCUUGCAAAUACAUGAGCUCAUUGGUAUUGAAAAUUUGGCCAACCAGUAAGUUAGGGUCUAACCAAACUUGCAACCAAACUUGCCACCUUAAGGUUUUAUUUGAGGUAUAAUUCAUCUCAUUACUUUAAAAAAAAAAUGGUCUCAUUUCAGAUUUUUAUUUGAAAACUUAAAUGGUGUGGUUUGUUUCAAAAGGACAGGGUAAAUUAGCAGGAGGUUGGUCAGAAGGCAACAGAGCACAAGUAAUUAUUAAUCCUUACUCUAGUCAAUAUGAACUCUCGAGUCUGAGAGUCGGGUUUCCGGCGCCCUCCGAAGCGGAAACAAUUUAUAAUUGAAAUAUUUUUUGGUCAAGAAUUGGACACAAAGAAAAAGAACUUCACAAUUAGUUAAAAGGAAAUCACUCAUUUCGAAAUGACCUUUUCAAUCCGGAAAAAAAGAAAAAAUCUUUAGUAUGUCCUCUCCCCCUCUUACUGAAGGAGGGGUCAACUGUUGCAAAUUGUCCAGGUCGUCUUUGGCUUCUCAUCGCUGAUUAGCAUGUGCUUUAUUUUCAAUUCGAGUGAGAAGCAUUGUGUCGUAUGGAUCGAGCGGGAGAGGAUGGAAUUUUAGUAUGAAUGUUAAGUACGCACCUGCCAUUGGCGCAAGCCCUGAUCGCCGUUGAGAUUGGACUUCUUGACGGCCACCGGGAUGCCGCUGCCGACCUCGGACGGGGCGAGCGUCCUCUCGUCCACCCAGCCCUUGAACACCCUUCCGAACCUGUCCUCCCCGAGCAUCGUGUCCGGCCUGAAGUUCCGGGUCGUGCUCUUCAGCUCCGCCAGCGUGUACAUUUUGAGGUAGGGCGUUAUCACCUCCCCGACUUUCGCCGUGGCUGGAGGUUCAUCCUUGCCACUGCCACUUGCCGCCGCCUUCUUGUUCUUGCUUCCCACCAACGCAUCUCGCUUUACCUUUGGGUUCUUAGCAAGAGCUUCUAUAAAAUUACCAAAAAAAAAAAAAAAAAAAAGAGGUGAAAUGUGAACUUAGCUUACAUCUAUCGGAAAGUAACGAUAAUAAAUAGUAGAUGAAAGUAUAGUUUAUUAUUUAAAAUUUUUAACACUCUCUCUGACACGUAUUUUUUUAUUCAUUUCCAUUAAAAAGAAAUGGAUAAUGCAUUCCAACUACUAACCAAAACUAAUCCCAAGCAAUUUCAAAGCAAAAUAAAUUCCAGUAGUAAAGUUUGUGGUCACAUGUUCAAAGAGCAGAAUUAUAACUUCUUCAAAUCAAAAUCGACAGCCGAUUACCAAAUUCGUUUCUUGCAAUGAGCACACAUCAAUAACUCUAUUUAUUACUAAGAUUUUGCCUUUCGAAAAUGUAUGCAUAGAUUUAGGUCCCCAACACGAUUGUUGUUCAGAUUAAGAGAGCAAACUACUUCAUGAAAACUGAAAACAUACAUACACAAAAUCUAGUAGUCGGACUAAAAAGACUUGAACUCAAGAGUUCUCACUUGGAUAUUAUAAACAUAUUAUAUUAUCAAUCCUAUAUUUUUCAACGACAACAACAACGAUUAAGCAAACGCUUCCACAAACUCUCUCCCUCUCCAUAUAUGUCUGUUUUGACAUGAAGCGGUUCUCCCUUUCUUAUUUCGGUGGGUGAAUGGUAGCCGGAGAGGGUUGUGAGGUUCGAGGAAAAAGAGAAGCAGCCGCCGAGAAGCUAAAGAAAAGAGAAACAAAAUCGGCUCGGUGCCAGCAACCACAAGGUCUUGACUUUUCUGCUUCCAUCUCCGUCAAAUUACCAAAAACAUUAUAAACAUAUUAUAUUAUCAGUCCUAUAUUUUUCAAUUAAGUUAAUUUAAUCCAUUCAAUCAAUUUUGAUUGGAAAUCAUUGACAUGUAACAGACAUUAGCGUGAAUAAUAUUUUAUUUUUUAUUACUAGAUUUGACAGUAAAUUAUGAGAGAUUUAUAUUCAUUUGCACUGAUAUAUCAUAAAUACCAAACAAUUGACAUCAUAUUAUAUGAAAUUAUUUGGUGUUAUUACUAUAAUUUACCAUACAAUAAAUAUGAUAUAACAAAAUAUCUUAAUUAUAUAUCAUAUUUUAUCAAAUCCUAAUUUGGUUAGAAAUUUAAACGAUCAAACGCAAUCAAUAGGGGUGGAAGAAGUAUUUGACUAGCGCUUGAGAUAAUGAAUUUCUCUUAUACCAAUUACAAAAAUUGAAUAUCCACAGAAGAAAGAAGGCCCUUACUUUGAGACGCUGGCGGUCCUGUCAUAGCUUUCCUUCCAAGUUGGUCAGAAUUUAGGCCCAAUUUCCGUUUCCGCUUUUCUGCCUGCCGAAUAGGCAUUUCCCAUCUUUAUCAACCAAGAAAUAAGAUGCUGACAGGGAGAUCAAGCCUACUUUUGCGACUAGAACAAAUGAUUGGCUGAAUCCAGAAAGCAUGUAUGCAAUCCCCACAUGAUCUCGAACCACAUCGUCCCCAAUCGAUUCUUUACUAGAAAAGAGCAACGCUCACAAAAAAGAACUCCUCACCUUCUCUCCCAUCCCUCCACUCCUGGUGUCUGAAUCAGUUCUGGCCUGAGAGAAAGGCGCGAAGAGCACCGUUCCUGGGAAGAAUGGACAAGAACCUGUCUGGAUCCCGAUAGAAAUAUCAUUAAUUCCAUCGGAGUUUUUACUAAAUAAAAAGGUCCACCUCAGUCAGCUCGUGCUCACAAAAACGAAGUACUCACAUUCGCUACACUCUCGGUGUCUGAAUCAGUGCUGGACGGAGAGUGCCAGUUGAACACCAUUCUCGAGAAGGAUCGGCAAAAAUCUAUCUGGAUCAAUUCUGAAACUGACGGGAAUUUAGGAUCCACAGCAACGAAGGUGUGGCAGAUAUAUGUGAGUUUCCAGAUUUGCGAGGUACGCGUUCUGAUUCUGAUGCAUCAAGAGGGAUGGAAACUUACUUGUUGAAAUAGACAAUUGAAAGGAAAAAGAAAGGAAGUGUGCUUUUUCGAAGAAACUGCGGAAGCGGACUCAGUCAACCUGGGCCGAAAUUUGUCACUCCUUACAGGCCGGGCAUCAUUCAUGUCCUCUCAUUCUGAAGCUUUUGUAGUCGAAGUAAGGGUGUUUUCGGAAGGGGGAAAAAAGGUACGGGUGUUUCGUGGAAAUUUCUCCACGGAAGAAAUAUCGUUAACCGAAAAUAAUUGAGACAGGUUUUGCACCAGACAGGAAACAUUACAAGUGACUAAGAAAAUUAAUAACUUACUGCGCUGGAAUUUAAUCAUCAAUAAAACUUGAAAACAUAAAGAUAUUACGACAUAACACUAAGGAUAAAGAUAUACGCCAUAAUUUAAUUGACAGUGCAUAUUUGAAAACUACAACUAAGAAACAAGCCAGGAUUUAAUCGACAACACAAAUUGAGAAAAUAAAAGUAAAGUGCAAGUAAAGUAAUUUUGUUUAAUUUAUACAAGAGGCUUCUAUUAGACGAGCGAUGAUAUCUAUAGUGCAUAUGCCAUAUUUGUUCCUCAGCAGUUUUUUAGCAAUUGUACCCAUGUUCCUCUAUAUUCAAAAAUCCUGUGCCUAGAUUCUCACGAGGCCAUGAUCUUAUCUUCAUAUUGUCGUUUCUUUAAAAAUGGGUGCUUAUUGUUACUGGACCUUAAUCACUUCGUUUUUCAAAAACUUCAAAUUUGUACCUAUAGCUUGAUGCCCCUUAUAUGUUUAUCUUUCUCCUGACACCUUGAUAACUUGCCAUUCUUGCUUAAUCGACAUCCUUAUCAAUUGUUAUUAAUCAUACAUUAUCCUAUAUCAACAACAAUCGGUGACAAAUCUUCGAUGUGCACCAAUACCAAUACCAUGUGGUCAUCAACGGUGGGUCAUGUGCUUGACAAUAUUUGAUGCUUCAAUCGUGUGUCUACUCAUAUCAACAACCCGGUUUUUUUUUUUUUUUUUUGUGUGCAAAUAAAGGGAAGUUGAUGACUUAAUCUUGAUUGGUCCCAGCUCACCAACAGCACAAAUCUUCACGAUGAUUAUGUGCAUGUCAUAUGCCAUAUUUCACGCCAUGGUCGAGGGCAUUUUUAUCAUAAAAUUCCUUUUUUUUUUUUGCCAAUUGGGGAGGAUUAUAAAAAAAGUCCUAAAAUUAUUGUAAUUAUGUCAAUUCAGUCAUAAACUUUUUUCUAAUUAAAUCUUAAACAUUUUGUAUUUGUACCAAUUUAGUUCAUCUGAUCAAUUUUGGUUAGAAAUUAUUAACAUAGAUGUUAGCUCAGUAAGCAUUAAUAUGGACAAUUUUUAAUAAUAUGUUUUUUAAAAUUAUUUAUUAAUUCUUUUCUUUCCUUUAUUUCGUUCCUUUCUUCUUCUUUUUUCUUUCCUUUUUCUUCUUCCUCUAGUCAAUCGCUGACCACUAGCUAGAGGCAAGGGCGACUAGGUCGACCUCGCUGAUUCUUGCAAGGUUGAGCCUCGCAGGUCACCUCACCUCCGGCUAGUCGUUGGCUUUCAUUCCGAGUCAAGGCAUAUUGGAGUUUUCUGGCUUUUCAUCCUUAUACAUCAUUCUGCUGUUGGUGUGCAGCCGUUAGCAUGUGCAUAGGAAGAAAUUACUCGGUGAACUACUCUUGAGUCAAGGCAUAUUGGAGUUAAAAAUAUGCAGAGAAAAUUAUCCAAAUUCAUCAAGACACAAUAGAACCUAAUUUUAGAGUAAUGCUAAGCGUGGAAUAUGCUAAAGGCAAACUAUCAUCUACGUCACAGGUCCAAUUCUUCUUGACGAUUAUCACCUUGUGGAGAAACUUGCCAACUUUGAUAGGGAGAAAAUUCCGGAGUGUUGUCCAUGCCAGGGGAGCCAGUGCAAAGGGAUUCUUUGAGGUCACUCAUGACAUUUCUCACCUUACUCGUGCCGAUUUCCUUCAGGCACCAGGAGUUCAAACACCUGUGAAUGUCCGUUUCUCCAUCCUCAUCCACGAAAGGGGUGGCCCUGAAACCCUGAGGGACCCUCGGGGUUCUGAUGUGAAGUUCUAUACAAGAGAGGUAAGGGAGACAUGAAUGUGCAGCAUGGACGAGCACGAGUAUGAUGCUCCCUGUGAUGAAUCCUUUCACAGGUGGCCUAAACUCAACCGAUGCAUAUCGCAGUUCUCUUGUCCACAUUGCAUACAUUUGUUUUGCUGCACUUUGCUGUGUGAUCUUACCUUUUCCGUUACUACAGGGUACCUUUGAUCUCGUGGGAAACAAUUCCCCGUCUUCUUUAUCAACGAUGGGAUGAAAUUUCCAGAUAUUUUUCAUGCACUUGAACCAGACCCCAAAUCCCACGUCCAGGAGAACUGGAGGAUCCUUGACUUUUUCUCCCACCAUCCCGAGAGCUUUCGCAUGUUCACCUUCCUCUUUGAUGACAUUGGUAUUGCACAAGAUUGCAGGCACACGGAGGGCUCUGGAGUUACACCUACACUUUUAUCAACGAGGCUAGAAAAGCGCAUCAUGUGAAGUUCCACUGGAAACCAAUUUGCGGGGUCAAGAGCUUGCUGGAGGAAGAGGCAAUUAGAGUUGGUGGAUUCAAUCACAGCCAUACAACUCGGGAUCUUUAUGAUUCCAUUGCUGCCGGAAACUAUCCUGAGUGGGAACUUUUCAUUCAGAUUGUCGAUCCUGAUCAUGAAGACAAAUUCGACUUUGACCCACUUGAUAUGACUAAGACCUGGCCCGAAGACAUAUUGCCCCUAAUGCCAGUUCGCCGCUUGGUCUUGAAUAGGAACAUUGAUAACUUCUUUGCUGAGAAUGAACAUCUUGCAUUUUGCCCUUCAAUUGUGGUUCCCGGCGUCUACUGCUUAGAUGAUUGGCUGCUUCAAACUCGUAUGUUCUCAUAUUCUGAUACUCACAGGCACCGCCUUGGACCAAAUUAUCUUCAACUCCCCCUAAUGCUCUUAAAUGUGCUUAUCACAAUAAUCACCACGAAGGUUUCAUGAAUUUCAUGCAUAGGGAUGAAGAGGUAAGAAUUUUCUUUGAAUCCUACCGCAGCGAUACUCUGGGUCGCGUCUCUUGUGGAUUUUUUGUCGACGUAACUAAGGCAUCACGCUUUCCUUGAAGUAUGAAGGCGUAGUGAUGCAAUCUGACGUGUCCAUUACAGAUCCCAAAGUGGCAGUGCGAAUGUCCUCUCUCCUUGUUAGCGGAGGAUUACUUUUUUUAUCUUGCAAAUGCCCUUUGUGUCUGAAACAUGCACACUUGUUUACACAUGUGGGAAAUUCCUGUCUGUUAUUAUGUAAAAUGAUGGAUUAUCUGUUGAGCAAAUGCUUAAUUUCCCUUUUGCAGAUAAAACUAUUUUCUUUCAAGGUAUGAUCCCGUUCGUCAUGCAGGGAGAUAUCCAUUCCACCUGCUAUGCUGACUGGAAAGCGUGAAAAGGUAUGUUUCAUAAUCCUAUUUUACUUGAAUAGAGAUUGAUUGCUUGAGGUGCUUUCAUGUUGGUAUCGAUGGGAUGGACUCAGCUUGUCCUGUAAAUAAUCAAUUGAAUUGCAGUGAGUGGUAUGACCGAUGUAUGUGUGUUUGGAUUUUGUUAAUUUUUGUUGGUCCACACAGACUAUCUCUGAGAAAGAGAACAACUUCAAGCAGCCCGGAGAGAGAUACCGACCAUGGACGCCUGACAGGUAUCCUUCAGUCGUGCAUUUCCUGAUAAUGGUGUGAUGGUCUCAUGUAAGAGAAGUUCAUCUGCCGAUGGAUCGAUGCUUUGUCUGACCCACGUGUGACUCAUGAGAUCCGCAGCAUCUGGAUUUCAUACUGGUCUCAGGUGAGACAGCGUUGUCUAGUCCUGAUGGCAUGGGUUGAGGUGAAAAAUAUAAUAUUCAACAUGCAGAAAUGGGGGAUUCGGUUGUUGCUUGCUUUGUGAUAUAUAUGUGUGUGUGUGGGUGUGUGUGUGUGUAUACAUCCAUGCAGAUGUGAUAAUGAACUCAUUUGAGAUUACUUGCAAUUGCAACAGGCCGACAAAUCUCUGAGUCAGAAAUUAGCAUCGCGGCUCAAUGUGCGACCGAGCAAUUAAGGACAAUACAAAGCUGGAUGUUUUGGGAUGGAGCAAGCACAAAACGAUGUCCGAGCUAUAAACUCUGUUCCAAUGCUUAUUUUU